CCUACGGGGGGCUGCAGUGGGGAAUAUUGGACAAUGGGGGGAACCCUGAUCCAGCCAUGCCGCGUGUGUGAAGAAGGCCCUCGGGUUGUAAAGCACUUUCAGUGAGGAAGAACGCCUGGUGGUUAAUACCCAUCAGGAAAGACAUCACUCACAGAAGAAGCACCGGCUAACUCCGUGCCAGCAGCCGCGGUAAUACGGAGGGUGCGAGCGUUAAUCGGAAUUACUGGGCGUAAAGCGCGCGUAGGUGGCUUGAUAAGCCGGUUGUGAAAGCCCCGGGCUCAACCUGGGAACGGCAUCCGGAACUAUCAAGCUAGAGUGCAGGAGAGGAAGGUAGAAUUCCCGGUGUAGCGGUGAAAUGCGUAGAGAUCGGGAGGAAUACCAGUGGCGAAGGCGGCCUUCUGGACUGACACUGACACUGAGGUGCGAAAGCGUGGGUAGCAAACAGGAUUAGAUACCCCUGUAGUC
rnacentral:rRNA from 1 species